rnacentral:rRNA from 1 species
UACGUAGGGGGCAAGCGUUGUCCGGAUUUAUUGGGCGUAAAGGGCGUGUAGGCGGCCAACUAAGUCCGACGUGAAAUCCCCAGGCUUAACCUGGGAACUGCGUCGGAUACUGGAUGGCUUGAAUCCGGGAGAGGGAUGCGGAAUUCCAGGUGUAGCGGUGAAAUGCGUAGAUAUCUGGAGGAACACCGGUGGCGAAGGCGGCAUCCUGGACCGGCAUUGACGCUAAAGCGCGAAAGCCAGGGGAGCAAACGGG